rnacentral:rRNA from 1 species
AUACGUAGGGGGCGAGCGUUGUCCGGAAUGAUUGGGCGUAAAGGGCGCGUAGGCGGCGCGGUAAGUCUGGAGUGAAAGUCCUGCUUUCAAGGUGGGAAUUGCUUUGGAUACUGCCGCGCUUGAGUGCAGGAGAGGUUAUCGGAAUUCCCGGUGUAGCGGUGAAAUGCGUAGAGAUCGGGAGGAACACCAGUGGCGAAGGCGGGUAACUGGACUGCAACUGACGCUGAGGCGCGAAAGUGUGGGGAGCAAACAGGAUUAGAUACCCUGGUAGGCCACGCCGUAAACGAUGAAUACUAGGUGUAGGGGGUAUCGACUCCCUCUGUGCCGCAGUUAACACAAUAAGUAUUCCGCCUGGGGAGUACGGCCGCAAGGUUGAAACUCAAAGGAAUUGACGGGG